AUAAAAUAUGAUAUGCAUGAUGAUCUAAUGUAUAACAUUCCAAAUUGAAAAUUUGGGAUGUUACACUCGUUUUGUGGACAGUAUGACGGACAACCUAAGGCCUACUUGUUUGGAGGCAACUGAUGUGGCAAACGCGAUGCUGGACGGUAGUGAUGCCAUUCUCCUUGGUGUUGAGACUCUCCGUGGGUUGUAUACAGUUGAGACUAUUUCAAUAGUAUGCAGAAUUGGUGCUGAGGCUGAGAAGGUCUUCAACUAGGAUUUGUACUUCAAGCGAACCAUGAAAUACGUGGGAGAACCCAUGACCCACUUGGAGUCUAUUGCUUCCUCUGCAGUGCGGGCUGCUAUCAAAGUUAAGGCUUCGGUCAUCAUUUGCUUCACCUCAUCGACAGGAGAAAAAGAGUAUUUCUUCUUAUAGGCGCUUCACCUCAUCUUGUAGUUUAAUGGAAAUUGAUUCAUAUAUUAUGCCGUAUCGAGUAUCUGCAGGCUAAUUGCCAAGUAGAUGUCCACCAUGCCGUUCCUCGUCCAAAAAGAAAUCAAUUGAAGUGGAGCUUCACAAGCGCAUUUGAAGCAAGACAAUCACUCAUAGUUAGAGGCCUCUUUCCCAUGCUUGCGAUCCACGUCACCUGGCUGAAUCUACUAGCACUAGAAAUGAAUUAGUGUUGAAGGUUUCUCUUGACCACGACAAAGCAUCCGAUGUGAUCAAGUCGCAUGGCUUACCUUAGCCAGAAUUUCUGAACGAAGAUCUGGAUCACUCUCGCCCCUCUAGAGAAAUCAGUUUACUCAUUCAAGUUCUGGAAAUUCUUUAUAGCCUUUUGAGUUUACUUCGGUCUUGCAUGUAUUAGCUUUCUGUUUGUGCCCCUAUUUAUGUAUGUUUCUUGUGUGCAAGUGCUCCAUUCUGUGUGUGUGUGGCUGUGUGUGGCUUGACUCUGUGUGUGUGGCUUGACUCUCUGUGUGUGUGUGUGGCUUGACUGUGUGUGUGUGUGGCUUGACUGUGUGUGUGUGAC